rnacentral:rRNA from 1 species
AGAGUUUGAUCCUGGCUCAGAGUGAACGCUGGCGGCGUGCUUAACACAUGCAAGUCGAACGGUAACAGCAGAACUUGCUCUGGCUGACGAGUGGCGCACGGGUGAGUAAUAUAUAGUUAAUGUGCCCCAAAGACUAGGAUAGCCACUGGAAACGGUGAUUAAUACUGGAUAAGCCUCUAUUACAUAAGUAAGCGAGGAAAACGUUUUUUCGCUUUGGGAUCAGACUAUAUCCUAUCAGCUAGUUGGUGAGGUAAGAGCUCACCAAGGCAAUGACGGGUAGCGGGUUUGAGAGGAUGAUCCGCCACACUGGUACUGAGACACGGACCAGACUCCUACGGGAGGCAGCAGUGAGGAAUAUUGCACAAUGGGGGGAACCCUGAUGCAGCAACGCCGCGUGGAGGAUGACGCAUUUCGGUGUGUAAACUCCUUUUAUAUGUCAAGAAAAUGACGGUAGCAUAUGAAUAAGCACCGCUAAC